rnacentral:rRNA from 1 species
GACAGAGGAUGCAAGCGUUAUCCGGAAUGAUUGGGCGUAAAGCGUCUGUAGGUGGCUUUUUAAGUCCGCCGUCAAAUCCCAGGGCUCAACCCUGGACAGGCGGUGGAAACUGCCAAGCUGGAGUACGGUAGGGGCAGAGGGAAUUUCCGGUGGAGCGGUGAAAUGCGUAGAGAUCGGAAAGAACACCAACGGCGAAAGCACUCUGCUGGGCCGACACUGACACUGAGGAGCGAAAGCGUGGGGAGCGAACAGG